CGGAAACAGGUGUAAUGGUUGCAUGAGGCGUUUGGAUCGCCGGGGUUCGGGGUUCGACUCCCUGGUUUCCGAC
rnacentral:tRNA from 8 species